AUCGUACAACCGAGGCGCGAGGGCUGUCGCUGACCUUCAAAGGUCGUGCACGCCCGAGCGCUCUCACACAAUCCAUCUCACACCCCUUUGUGCAUCACCGCGAGGGUCCCAGUGGCUGUAACGGCCCCAAGGUGGGAAUGCGAGGCGAUGUUUUCCCCAACGGAGUCUCGUGCUCGUGCGCCGAGUUCAAGACUGUCCCCUCCAGAAAACUUUGGUGUCCAUCGUCCCCCGCGGCGUAGGCCGUGGUCGGAUCUGGAGUAAUCGGCCCUUGUCUAGCCAGGGAAGCGAUUCCGCAGCUAGCAGGACCCACCGAGUUGGUCUUAGGAGAUCAGGGCACGUCAUCUGUCGCGCGGGUGCGCCGUGUCCCUCGUAGACCUUUAUACCUCGCGUUUUCACACAAACCUAUGAUACAGUGUAGAAUGUUACUUUACCUUUUGCGGUCACACGCAAUCAAUACAACUUUCAACAACGGAUCUCUUGGCUCUCGCAUCGAUGAAGAACGCAGCGAAAUGCGAUACGUAAUGUGAAUUGCAGAAUUCAGUGAAUCAUCGAAUCUUUGAACGCACCUUGCGCCCCUUGGCAUUCCGAGGGGCACACCCGUUUGAGUGUCGUGAAAUCAUCAAAACCUUUUCCUCUUUGUUGGGAAAAGGAUUUUGGACUUGGAGGUUCCAUGCUUGCUUUCUUUUUGAAAGCGAGCUCCUCUCAAAUGAAUCAGUGGGGUCCGCUUUGCCGAUCCUUGACGUGAUAAGAUGCUUCUACGUUUUGGAUUUGGCACUGUCCCUUGGACGCCUGCUCCUAACCGUCCCCAUGGACAAUGAUGGUGCUUCGGUCGACCGCCGUCUACGUUGGCGGAGGGAGGCUGGACCCACGAAAAGAAAACCUUGACCUCAAAUCGGGUGAGACUACCCGCUGAGACAUCUAUAA
rnacentral:rRNA from 1 species